CUUUUUUUCAGAUCAUAAAUCAGUAGCAAAUGUGCAGAUUUGGACUGUCCAAAGUUUUACCUUGAGAAUAUUUUCUUGAAGCAUUCCAAAACACUGAAAUCCUAGGAUGGCAAGGAAAAAAAUCAAAUAAAAGAUUCACCCAUUACUGAUCUGCAGACAGCAGUGGUGAUUUUUCUGUGUUGCCACCCUUCAGAAGCUAAUGAGAUCUUUUCACAGAUCCUAUUACAAUUCACAGUAAAGUGAUCCUCUACCUGUCUUUCCUGAGGGGUCCAAUUAAGGUAAGGAUUUAUUCAAGACGCGUACUGACCUGGGGCUUGCACAGUGCAAAUCUGAG
rnacentral:lncRNA from 1 species